CCCUGGUGGUUCAGAUGGUCAAGAAUCUGCCUGCAAUGCAGGAGACUCAGGUUCAACCCUGGAUCAGGAA
rnacentral:tRNA from 1 species